UAUCUUUAAACCGUUCCUGAUGACAACCAAUCAGAUGUAGGGGCGUUUCUAAGCUCCUCCCACUGCUGCGUGUUAAAGGCGAGUGAUUUUAAUCUGCGCUUUUCUUCAGAAACUCCAGAGCUGAAACAACAACACAACAAACUGCUAAAUACCGUCCAAUGUGGCACUUUGCAGCUUCAAUCAGCCAGAAAAAAAAUAUGGCAAUGCUGCUUGUGUGUUUAAGAAGACUAUCGUGUAAUAACAAUAAAAAACGAGCUCAGGUCAGGAUGCUGAAGGGAAAAGUGGCCGUAGUGACCGGCUCGGCUCAGGGUCUGGGAAAAGCCUUCACACACAUCCUGCUGGAGAACGGAGCUCAGGUGGCCAUGCUGGAUGUGAAUGAGGUGAUGGGUCAGGAGCUGCAGGUCCAGUUGAAUCAGCAGUAUGGAUCGGACCGAACGCAGUUCUUUAAAGCAGACGUGUCAUUGGAUCAGCAGUUUACAGAUGUGUUCCAGAAGAUUCUCAGUAAGUUAGGUCACAUUGAUGUGUGGUGUAAUAACGCUGGCAUUGCUGAUGAGAAGAGCUGGGAGAAAACCGUCUCCAUAAACCUGUCAGGAGUGGUGAGAGGAACAUAUUUGGUCCUGGAGCACAUGAAAAAGCAGAACGGUGGAAAUGGAGGAGUUAUUAUCAACGUUGCAUCACUGGCAGGGAAACAGGAAGUGGGAAUCAUCACCAUGAAACCCGCACCCGUCACCGGGUCGCGGUGUGCAGCAGCAGGAAUCCGCGACCGGAACAGAGACGCAGCACGGACAUGAAAACGGCGGCGCGAGCUCAUCCCACACGUUUCCGCAGACACCAAACUGUCCAUCAUCAAACCCCUGAGACUGACCGCCGGUUACAUCGCUCACCUGACCGUCAUCCUGCACGAGCCCAACGUAACACGAGGCUGGUGGAUGAUCAGCUGUGUGUGAUGUGUGGGCAGACAGGUGUGAGGUUCACUGUAAAGGUGAUGGAUCACUGUAAAGACACGUGAGCAUGACACACACACACACACACACUUCAGUGACUGUGUGUGUGAAGACAUGAUGCUGAUCACCACAUCACUUUGGAGUGGAGAUGUUAAACCAGUUCUGGGGUCAGUGCUGUCACCACACACACUUUAAAUAUCAGAUUAAUAAUUGUUAUAAUGAACUCCUCCAUUAGCAAUAAUACACAAAACCACAAAGAAGUGUAAACUCCUCUGUCCUGAAGAUGUGGAGAACUUCAAGCUCCAGCUUCACCCCUGACUGAUACACACACACAGAUACACAGCAUUGACACUCGAGAGUCCUUACACACAUCAUACACACAUACACACAGCUGACACGGGAGACUCCUUCACCACAUCAAACGCACACAUAGUGCUGACACUGGAGACUCCUUCCAUCAGUGUUGCAUAAACAACUCAUCAACGAGUACAGCAACAAUAAAGUAUUAGAGCAAGUGCAUUCAUCUAAACCUGUCAUGUUCAGCUGCACUUGUGUCACAGCUGAUGUUAUAGAUGUGUUAUAUAUCCAGAUCUCAUCAGUAAUACCACAUAACUGUAUGAAAUGUGUUCAGCACAAAUUUUCCAGAUUACUGAGCAAAUUAUUAUUAAUAUCUGUGUGUUUGGCAGAUGUUUAACUGAGCAAAGAUCAGCGCAGAGAAUAGAGUAAACACACACACACACACACACAGUGUUAAAGCUGAAGUGUCAUCAUCCCUAAACUUGAGGAUUUUUCGGUCACGUGGCUGAAACACUCACUCUCUCGUAUCUGUACAGGAGGACACGAGAUCAGCAUUAACUUGACAAUUUUACAAAUACAGCCGUGUUUAAUUCACUUCCAGCGUUAUAACUCUCUCUCACACACACACACACCACUGUACAGUAAAGCUACAAACCCGCUCGUGCUAAAGGAUAUAAAACACAUGAACACGUCAGGCUAAAGCUACAGGCUAAUCAGUUGGUACUAGAUUUGUCUUUUAAAACUGUUUAUCUUACCAAACUAAUAAUGCCCCAAACUUGAUAUGAAGCUAAAUACACAUUUGACAAAAUAAAUAUUUCUGCAAAAGAAGGCGACUUUUCUGGAAUAACUCUGCUCCCAAAUCAGCCGAGAAACACGUGGAGUUCAUCCGGGUACUUCUACACCGCUAAUCACUCUGAUUAGCCUCGGGGCUUCUACAAACUCUGAAAAAUUAACGUGCUCAUGGAAACACACAAUAAACUACUCAGUGGGGAAAAUAUAUGACCUUUAUAAAACAAGCGUGUGUUUUAGCGGAUUAAGCAUGCAUUAUCCUGUGUGUAGUUUAGCUGAGUUAGCAUGUGUGUCGGCCCGUCCGCCAUUGUUAACACAGCACGAGACAGGCCAGGGUGACUGAAUUAGCAGUUAGCAUCCACUAGCAAUACAUAGCUAGCCAGCACGCUAGAUAACGUGAUUUUAAAAGGGGCGUUUAGGACAAAACACCUCAGAAAAGUGAGAGUAAAAUAGAAAUCCAACAGAAAUUGAACUUUAAGUAAGAAUGUUACGCUGACCUACAAAGAGGCGGUUCGCUAGCAAGCACGCGUGGCAUUAUAAUGACCAUUUAUACACAUUUACCGCAGGUUUUUUCUCUCUCUCUCUCACACACACACACACACACACACACAAUGCUACUGCAACCUGAAUAAGAACAGCCGGUUAGCUAGUGAUGGUCAGUCAGAACAGAAUGCUAACAUGUGGACAGAUUAAUAGGCAUCGUGCUAGCGUUAGCUGUGUGUUUAGGUGUUAGCGGAGUUAGCAUGCUAGCGGAGCAGUGACAGCUGCUUGAUAAACACUCCCUCAGCAGCACUAACACCACCGCAGCGUGUUUUAGUAUAUUUAUCCGGAGAACAGAGAGAAGUGUUCGGGCAGCUCACCGGGAGCGGUCUGUCCGUUCACCGUCACCGAGUUGAGCUUCUUGGUCCACGGGUUGACUUUGGGCGGAGGCGCCUCUCUGAACUCCUUCUUCUCCACUGGAUGAUGAGGAUCUUCAUUUAUCAGG